CAAGCUUCCUUUCCAGGAGCUCAGGGCCCUACUGGGGAAGGGGCUUUCAGCCCUGGUCCUCCCUAGACUCUUCUGUUCACACAUCCUCUGUGGCUCCUCAUUAGGCCGGCCCUGAUUUAGGCCUCGAGCAUCUCCAAAUCCCUCAGAGCUUCGCUGACUGAUACGGGAACCACUAACCUGGUGUGGUGACUUCAUUAGAAUGGCUCCCGUCUUCCCACGUCUCCUCUGAUCUUCCAAGGGGGAUCCAGCCCAUUUCACAGGAGAAUAUACCGAGGCCCAGGGGGGCAAAGCCACACACGGGAGGAAUCAGUUUGAACCUGGUGGUGUUGGACUCCCAGCUCUGAGCUCACCCCUGUGCCCACCGCAGAGUCAGGGGACAGGCUGGCCUGGUGCCUUCCACCUCCUCCUACCCGCCACCCCACCCAUGGAACCGGCUCACCCCUGGCGUGGGUGACAAUAUAUGGGUCAGGGUGUGCCCCAGGCAGUCCCACCGGGCCCUGGGGUGACAGCUUUGAGGAGGACUACAGAGGUGAAGUGCUCUGCUUGUCACACCAAGUCCACAGGACAUGCCAUGGGUAUGACUCUUCACUAUGAUGUUGACCUGGAUCACCUGCCUGAAGUGGCCUCUGUCAAGUGUCUCCACUGUGGAGCGACUCUCUUCCUCCUGUUGAUGCUGUGCCCUAUGGAAGGAAGUCACCAUGGGCCACCCACACACAAUGGAUGGGGAGUCACACUUCUCCCCACAAAUUAUUCUGAAUUCCUCUCUUCUCCCUGUUUAUCUCUUUGAUCAUUCACAUCAGUAUGGACUUAUGAAUAUUUAUUUUGUAUGUUGAGUUAAAAUCUAAUAUUACUUUA